GUAAAGUAAGGAGAUUGAUAGACGGAACUGUUCAAGCAUAUCUUUUACUAAAGCAUAUUUUCUUUAAAAUACUUACAUUUACAGCAACCAAAUUUUGGGUGGAUGUUAACAAUAGAGACCAGCUCCUCUCCUUGUAAGUGAUUUUCCAAGUUACCUACACAGCUAUUGUGGGUCUCUUAUCUAUACAGAUGACACAGUGCUACUCCUCGAGAGUAGAAAUAGAAUUUUUUAUAGCAUUGAGCACGGCUCAACAGUAUUGUACUGCAAAUGAAUUGCUACUUAACAAGAACAAGAGUGCACCAAACCAAGUACCUUGGAAUACUCAGAUGAUAAAGUGUCAUGGAAUAAUCACAUUGAAGUACUGAGGAGACUAAAACAAUUAAAACAGCAUAUUUCACCAUUUUGAAACCCAAUAUGGUCUGGAAGCUUGAGGAAGCUCCUCCAGAGUCUCAUUACUCCAGAAGAAGGCUAUACGUAUUCUCUCCAAUUUAGGCAAACACAAUACUAAACUAGCGUCAGAGUACAGUCUUAAUAAUAUUGUGACAGGUCAAAUUACGACAUUUAAAUAUUCGGGGGAAAUUAGCAGACGGUGAACCAAAUGACCGUGACACAAGUAAAUCGCAUGUUAUUGGAAUUGAGAUUUAUUUAAUUAAUAAUAGAGAAAUAUGUUAAACUUCAUACGGGAACAAAUUCAAAUAAUUAAACUGAGCUAAACAUAACCAAAAUUUGUUUUUACUAAAAGUACCAAAUAAAAUUACGCAGCCAAUUGUGGGAUGAAAUGACGCGUAUUGAUGACAUCAGACAGCACAUGUUGCAAAAAUUUAAAUAAAAAGCGAUAGAAAAAUAGUUAAAGAAAAUAGAGAGACUUAAAUUGAUCAAUUAUAGUGAACGUGAUAAAAUUCAAUAAUAAAAAAAAAAAAAAACAAAAACAAAAACUUAUAUUCAAUCGUGAAGACGCUAAUUUGAACGGGAGAGGGCUUGAGCAUUGUUUGAGACAGUACGCAAGGUUUUGGUCCCAGAAUCUUCCUUCUGUUUGGAGAGCUGAAGCAGAGAGGACGUCAGACGUGUAGAUCCACCUGGCAGUGAUGCAAUAUGGAAUUGUGGAAAGGUUAUAACCGGGCGAUGGGAUAUUGUUUUUAGUGAAUAAAUUAACAACAAAGCAAACGAUGAAGGCUGUGGUGAAAGAGAUAUGAUGAUGACCAAGCGUGACCAGCACAAUGGAUAAAACCAACGGACCACUAGUCAAGAUCGGCAAUGAACAUUUUAAAACCUGGCUCAAGAAUUUGGAUCCAGUAGCCAGGGUUGAAAAGAUGAGCACUAUCGCUAAAACUCAAGCUUCAGCUGGCCUGAAGGGACCAUUGAUCAAAGUUUCAUUAGCACAACUGUCACAAAGGUGUGAAGUGAGGUUGCUUAAACUGAGUGAUAGAGAAAUCAAGUUUGCAACAAGGAGGAAAUCUAUAAAGAGUGUUAAGCCUCUUGCCAGUUCUAAAACUCAAUUUGAAGACAGUUUAAAAAACCAACACAAGUUACCUACAAAUUCAAAGCAUAUUGUUGAUAAAAGUACAAGAACUGAAGACAGCAAAAUCAUGUUACUUUCAAAAUAUCCUGGAGAUUCUGCAGUUAAAACAAAAAAGUUUAAGCAGCUACAAAAUAACAAAAAAAUAAAGAUGUAACUUUAACAGCA